GUUGACUACUUCACACGACGCACACACAGAAUCAUCUGAAGUCUGUUUGAUCGCUGUUGAGAGAAGCUUCAAACUGCUGGUGAGAGAUGAGCAGCUUUCAGUUUCUGAGACUUACAAACUCAGCUCAUACCCAACAGAUGAUGCAGGUAGGGCAUUAGCAGAAUCUCACACUUCAAAAGACGCUAGCACUGACACGUCCAGUCAUCCUGAAUGCAACUGGCUGGGGAAAUCACUUGAACACGAGCCCCCUGGUUGUUGCAUUCUUCACGCUGGAAAUGACGAAUAUGGGAGACAGGUGCAAAAUAGUGUCAGUCAAAUCCAAGCAUUCACCCUCAAUUCCAGUGAUGAGGGGGUCAGAUGUCAGUCAGAUUGCAUUCAUGGAGAUGCGUUAUAUGACACAGGUUUCUGUAAUGCAUGGAGCCAAUCUGCAGAAGUGGAAGACAGUAAUCAGAAGAGGGGUGAGCAUGGAUUUAGUGAGACUAUCCUUUUCAGCGAGGAAAAGGCAGAAGAUAACAGACCCAAAUCUUCCCCUGAUUAUGCAGUCUCUAAAUCAUUCUACUCAAACCCUGAAGAGCAAUCCUCUGGGAGCGUGGUAGAAAGUGUAAAAAAUGAGGAAAGAAUAUUAGAAUUUCAGAUAUGUGACACUGAAAAUGUUGCCAUCUGUGAUGGGGAAACAAAAGGCCAAGUUAAUGAGAAUGGCAUCAGCAACAACUCUAUCCCUUCUGCUGAUGAAUGUGCUAAGGGAUCAAUGGUUUGUUAUGAUGUGGUAUUAGCCAGAAAUAUUGCAAUUGAGAGUGUGAGUCUCGAAGCCGAUGACUUCUAUGGGGCAAAAGGAGAGCAUGCUGCUGGCAAGAUGAUAGCCAAAGCUGGGAGUGAAACUGGCUGAUCACACAACAGAGACUCCAAUGCCUGCAAGAAUCAGUCAAGAGCCUGCGGAAGGAGAUAAUGAGGCAAGCCCUUUCAGUGUAAUUGACCCUGCAAUCGGGAGUGAAACUGACAGGGAGGCUGAGGAGAAACGCUUUAAUUCAGGGAGCAAUGCAGGUGUGGAAUUAUUUACAUCAGCAAAAGUCUGCGAGAUGGAAACACCUCUUCCACUCUAUUCUGACGUGCGGCUAUCACAGGAGGUUUCAGGUCCCGACCAGAUCGGGCACUUUAAUCACCAUAGCAGAACACAACAGUUCAAAGAUGAAAAAGAGGACCUAUGGCAGUCAUACUCAGAUCCACCGGCUUGUUCUCUUCCCACCGACAAAACUCAAAACAAGACUGGCAACGAAGGCAGCUGUCACUGGAAAUCCAGUCCCAGCAUCAGUCAGUGCAGGCCAGCAGAUCCUCCUUCUGCAGAGGGUGUAAGACAAGAAAGCCAUGAUACUGUGGGACAUCAAUUGAAAGAGCAGGAUCAGUCCGGCUGUUUUCCUCUCAGUCCUGACCACCUAAAGACACAGGAGGUGGAAUAUUUACAGACAAAUUAUGAAAUUGCCAGAAUAGAUGUAAAAACUGAGAUAAAUGAAAAAGAAGGAAUGGCAAGUUUUGAAGAAGAAAUAAAAACUGAUGAACAUGGGAAGUCAGGAAUCUCACCAGACUUGGAGGAAAAACUGCUGCAACAAAAUAAAAAACCCAUAGAAGACACUAAACUAUCAACUGGUGACUGCAUCAGUGACUGGACAGAGGGCAACAUAAGUACAUAUGGCAACACAUUAGCACACAUUGAUGAUGAAAUAGGGAAUAACCUCGAAUGCUUGUCUGAUCACUCAUACAAUGCUGUAAUUAUGGAAUGGAAGAUGGAAGAGACAACAGAGGAAAAGGAAAGAGAGAAAGAGGCAAGUGUUGGAGAAGAAACUGAUGUGCAUGGUAACUCAGAGAUAUUAGGGAAAUCAGAGGAUGAUCAUCAGAGAGUAAGUCAACAGAAAAGAGACAUGACUGAGGAAUGUAUCAGUGAAUGUAGAGAGGACAACAUGUGUAGAAGUGGCCACAAAUUAACCUUUGUUAAUCAACAUGAACAAGAAAACAAGCGCAGUUGUUUCUCUGAUUACCAACACAGAGCUGAGAUAUUCAUGCUUGAAAAUAAAGAUGACCUUUCGGCGUUCACGUUCCCCCCAACAAGUGAUGCAGUUGUGCCAAGUCUACAUGAAUUACUCCAUUCACAACAUGCUGACAGAAACCCCACAGCCCUAAACGGUAAUGACAGAUUUUCCCCAAUGCCAUCUGCCUUAACUUUCAACGACCGUGUGGGCUUUGACACUUUCGAAAAGAUCCAGCUCUCACUAGAUGAUGAUGGUGGCCUGAGCAACAGCCGUCUUCUCACCAGCCUAGCCGGGCAGCUGUUGAAAACACCCGAGCAACAACUUUACCACUCUAUGCCAGAGGCAGAGAGCAAUGACCAUGAGGAGGUACCAGAAGAGGAGGAGGAAGAGAGCGAGGAGGAGAUGGAAAUAUUUGAAUGUUACACUGAGAACAUGGCAAAGGCAUUUUCAAGCAGGGAUACCAGUUGUAAUGAACUCCCAAACUGUAUCUCAGCAGCAUCAGCAGAUGUCAUUGCUCUCGGAUGGCCAGAUCAACAGCCUAACUGUGAAUCAUCUUAUAAUUCCUAUGAGUGCUUCGUGGAUGAUUUUAACGCACAAUCAGGGUCCUCCACUGUUCCCUCUAAGAGCGACAGUCUAGCCUCCGAUGUGAACCACAGCCCCAAAUUUCAGAUGAAAAAACAAUUUGACAUGGUCUUGAAAGAGCUGAAAUUAUAUUUUGAAAUCAGUCUAAGUGAUUUUGCAAGUGACAGUCGAGCAUCGACACCUGAGCAGUGUAGUGAUAAAACUGAAGCUUUGGAGGGCGACGCUUCAAACUGCAAAGAAGAAGUAGAACGCUACAGAGACACGUCAUCAGAGUCUCAUCUGGUUGCUUGGCAACCUCACGGUCACGACAAAGCUCCAGGAAGUGACAGCCAAGAAGUAUUCCAG
rnacentral:lncRNA from 1 species